AGAGUUUGAUCCUGGCUCAGGAUGAACGCUAGCGGCAGGCUUAAUACAUGCAAGUCGAGGGGCAGCAGGUUUGUAGCAAUACAGAUGCUGGCGACCGGCAAACGGGUGCGGAACACGUACGCAACCUUCCUUUAACUGGAAGAUAGCCCACCGAAAGGUGGAUUAAUACUCCAUAAUAUAACUGAAUGGCAUCAUUUAGAUAUUAAAGCUCCGGCGGUUAAAAAUGGGCGUGCGUCUGAUUAGGUAGUUGGCGGGGUAACGGCCCACCAAGCCUUCGAUCAGUAGCUGAUGUGAGAGCAUGAUCAGCCACACGGGCACUGAGACACGGGCCCGACUCCUACGGGAGGCAGCAGUAAGGAAUAUUGGUCAAUGGACGCAAGUCUGAACCAGCCAUGCCGCGUGGAGGAUGAAGGCCCUCUGGGUUGUAAACUUCUUUUCUUUGGGACGAAACCCCUAUUUCUAUGGGGACUGACGGUACCAGAGGAAUAAGCACCGGCUAACUCCGUGCCAGCAGCCGCGGUAAUACGGAGGGUGCAAGCGUUAUCCGGAUUCACUGGGUUUAAAGGGAGCGUAGGUGGGCUUGUAAGUCAGUGGUGAAAUCUCUGGGCUUAACCCGGAAACUGCCAUUGAUACUAUAGGUCUUGAAUUCUCUGGAGGUAAGCGGAAUAUGUCAUGUAGCGGUGAAAUGCUUAGAUAUGACAUAGAACACCCAUUGCGAAGGCAGCUUACUACGGAGACAUUGACACUGAGGCUCGAAAGCGUGGGGAUCAAACAGGAUUAGAUACCCUGGUAGUCC
rnacentral:rRNA from 1 species